UGGGGAAUCUUCCGCAAUGGACGAAAGUCUGACGGAGCAACGCCGCGUGUGUGAUGAAGGAUUUCGGUCUGUAAAGCUCUGUUUUUUAUGACGAACGUGCAGUGUGUGAACAAUGCAUUGCUAUUACGGUAGUAAACGAGGAAUCCACGGCUAACUACGUGCCAGCAGCCGCUGUAAUACGUAGGUGGCGGGCGUUGUCCGGAAUUAUUGGGCGUAAAGAGCAUGUAGGCGGCUUAAUAAGUCGAGCGUGAAAAUGCGGGGCUCAACCCCGUAUGGCGCUGGAAACUGUUAGGCUUGAGUGCAGGAGAGGAAAGGGGAAUUCCCAGUGUAGCGGUGAAAUGCGUAGAUAUUGGGAGGAACACCAGUGGAGAAGGCGCCUUUCUGGACUGUGUCUGACGCUGGGAUGCGAAAGCCAGGGUAGCGAACGAG
rnacentral:rRNA from 1 species